rnacentral:lncRNA from 1 species
UUUUAACAUUGCAUAGAGUUUAUCCGUCUAAAUAUGUUUCGGGGAUAUUUAAAUUGAAUGUAUUAUAGCUAACUGACAAAUAUUGAAGAUGUUAUCUUAUAAAUGAAACAUUGCAACCAUUUUUCACACAGAAGUGGGAGUUCAAUUGUGUGGCCCUCAUGUCACAUAAUGGCAUCAAUAGACAAAACGAAAACACUACCACCUACUGGAGAUCAAAAUACAACUACUAAAAGGUUUAAUCCCUGACUUUUGGAAUAUACAGUGUGUCGUGGAAACAGAAUAUUUGUAGCCUACACUGUCUGGUAAGAAUCCAAACACGUUGUUUUCUUCAAAUGUAGAGAUCUGUUUAACAUUUUUUAGAGCUGUUAUAAAAAUGUUUCUUGUAAGCUGUGCAUGUCUUUGUCACAUAUUUAUUGCUAUCAUUCAGAGAUGUCUAACCAGAGUUAUUGCCUGUAUUACAACCCAGGUGCACAGAAUGAGAUUCAAUAACCUUGUUCUGUUGUUCAUUCAUGUCUUACAUAACAGCAGUAAUAACCCAAUAACCAUUGCUUCAGGAAGAAUGUA